GCCGAGGUGGCGGAAUUGGCAGACGCACUAGUUUCAGGUACUAGCGCUCGCAAGGGCGUAAGGGUUCGACUCCCUUCCUCGGCA
rnacentral:tRNA from 4 species